rnacentral:ncRNA from 2 species
GGCACACCCCACGGGAGCCCGAUGCACGGGCUGAGAUCGGACUGACGCUGUCCGGACCGUCUGAACCUGUCCGGAUCAUGCCGGCGAAGGAAGAGGAGGCGCACUCGUG